rnacentral:rRNA from 1 species
UACAGAGGGUGCGAGCGUUAAUCGGAAUUACUGGGCGUAAAGGGCUCGUAGGUGGCCAACCAAGUCGGACGUGAAAUCCCUCGGCUUAACCUGGGAACUGCAUUCGAGACUGCAUUGCUAGAGUAUGGGAGAGGGAAGUGGAAUUUCCGGUGUAGCGGUGAAAUGCGUAGAUAUCUGAAGGAACAUCAGUGGCGAAAGCGACUUCCUGGACCAAUACUGACGCUCAUGUGCGAAAGCGUGGGGAGCAAACAGG